AACCUAUCAGCUGUGUUACAGGGAAACGUAAUAAUCAGUUUCUUAGGCCUUGCUUCAAGUGUUAUUCACUUGCUUGAACUGAAGGCUUGAAAAUAUUUGAUAGUAUUACUGAAAGGGAAGCUGAAGAAGAGGAGUUGGGUAAUUUUCUCCAGCCUCAGUUAGGUGGAAAGUCAUGGAUCUGUUUUCUACUGCUCUCUCCAGGAAGGUAAUGUCAACCUGAUCCAAAAUGUGUGACUUCAGACAUAGCUGUUGCUUAGCAGGCCAUGAUGCUCCAGAGUGUGAAUAUCCGUCAAUUACGCAGCAUUAGUCAGCCCCUGAGCGAGCAUGCUGCAGGUGAUGGAAACAAACAGGGAAGAAUGAGGGACAGGGCUGCCUCCAUUCACAGGCAUUACUCUUUGGAGCAUGAAGCAGGUGGCACAUCCCUAGAUGGAUCAAAGUCAAGCCACCAGGUGCUUCUGGCAACAUUCCAGGACUUCUGAGCUCCCCAAGAGGCUUUUCGGCAACUCUGGACAUCUGGAGGGAUGUGCUGAAUUCCCACAAAUGGGGAGGUCCUGUGUGUUCAUGAGAAGCAGAGAUCAUCCUGCAAGGAAUAUGUUCAGAGCAUGGAUUCUCGGAGCUUAACCUGGCUUUCAUCAAUGCAGUUUAGAAUUUUUGUAUGAUCUAUUUGAAGCCAGCUGAGCUUCAUAGAAUAAUGUAUAUCUGGUGAGGCUGUGACCCUUAAACUUUCAUUGCAAUAGCCAAAAUAUGAUGUUCUUUUCAAUUAAAUGCAAAUAUCUUGUAAACAUGGAAACAAUGUUGGUUAGAAUCCUGAUUAUGAAAGAGGAUAUUUUUCUAAUUCUGUGUGGAAUUAUCAAGGCUCUUC